rnacentral:miRNA from 1 species
UCCUUGGCCAGAAUCCUUGCC